GCGUGUAGAAAAGUUACCGGUAGGGGUGAAAAUAAAAAAAGAGGUAGUUCUGGUAUUAAUAGUAAUGACCCAUUAACACAUGUUUCCGAAUCAUCGCCUAAUGAUAAUGUAGAUAUAGAUUAUGAACAAUUAUAAGAAGAUUUUGGAAUGGAAGAUAAUGAAAUAGGAAUAGAAGAUGAGUUACCACCUACACCUACUAGUGCUGGAGUUGGUAUUAUUGGAGUUCGCACUUCCAGCUUUUCAUUCUGUCCUAUGCGCCGAGGGUCGCAUGGAAGCAGCCUCUCUGCCCUUUUGGGUAGGGGUAAGACUGCCUACAUAUUACCCUCCCCAGACCCCACCUGGUGGGAGUAUACUGGGUAGUUGUUGUUGUUGUC
rnacentral:lncRNA from 1 species